UGCCCCAUGGCUGAGUUGGUUACAGCGUCCGACUGUUACAUUUGUGUCUCAUCGGAAGGUCGAGAGUUCGAGCCUCUCUGGGGCAG
rnacentral:tRNA from 1 species